rnacentral:rRNA from 1 species
UACGAAGGGGGCUAGCGUUGUUCGGAAUUACUGGGCGUAAAGCGCGUGUAGGUGGCGAUGUAAGUCGGGUGUGAAAUCCCUUGGCUCAACCAAGGAAGUGCAUUCGAUACUGUGUCGCUUGAGUACUGGAGGGGAUGGCGGAAUUCCCGGUGUAGAGGUGAAAUUCGUAGAUAUCGGGAGGAACACCUGUGGCGAAGGCGGCCAUCUGGACAGUCACUGACACUGAGACGCGAAAGCGUGGGUAGCAAACAGG